AAGGUCUGACUAGAUACCCCACUAUGUCUGGCCCUAAAUCUUGAUAUUUACCGUACUAAAACAUCUGCCCGAGGACUAUGAGCACGAACGCUUAAAACUCUAAGGACUUGGCAGUGCCCCAAACCCACCUAGAGGAGCCUGUUCUGUAAUCGAUAACCCAUGAUGCACCCAACCCCUUCUUGCCAAAACAGGCUAUAUACUGCUGUCGCCAGCCCACCUCUCCUGAGAGCACAGCAGUGGGCACAAUAGCCUGAAACCCCCACUAAUAAAGACAGGUCAAGGUAUAGCCUGUGGAGAGGAAGAAAUGGGCUACAUUUUCCUAGGAUAGGAAACCCUACGCAAAGGGGCAUGAAGCUCCCCCUGGUAGGCAGAUUUAACAGUAAAAUGGGACAACGUAGCCCCCUUUAAGUCAGCCCUGGGGCACGUACAUACUGCCCAUCACCCUCCUCACAAGCUACUCGCUCCCAUAAGUAAUAUGCCCAUCAGCUGAAAUUGAGGCAACAAAGGGGCAUGAAGCUCCCCCUGGUAGGCAGAUUUAACAGUAAAAUGGGACAACGUAGCCCCCUUUAAGUCAGCCCUGGGGCACGUACAUACUGCCCAUCACCCUCCUCACAAGCUACUCGCUCCCAUAAGUAAUAUGCCCAUCAGCUGAAAUUGAGGUAAGUUGUAACAAGGUAAGUGUACCGGAAGGUGCACUUAGCAUACCAAGACG
rnacentral:ncRNA from 1 species